AUGGACGCGUUGCUUAGGCGGCAGCAGGAGCUCGUGAUUCAGCUCCGAGCGCUCGUCCUUCCGGCGCUUCGAGACGCCGACAGCAGGUCAGCCGACCUCGCCGUUGACCUCUUCGAUGACAUGAUCGACUGCAUCACCGGCGUUAUCUCUAGGCUCCAGAGCAUCACUACUGCAGGCGGUGAACCAGCGGUGGCCUUCAUCCUCGGCAACAAUAUCUCCAACGGCGCCGACGAGGGACAAGAGAAGAAGCCCGUGAUCAGCAACGCUGGUCAGAAGAGAAGGAGGAACAACGAAAAGCGAUCAAGAUCACUUGUGACAAUUGUUCCACAUUAUGAUGGCCGUCAUUGGAGAAAAUAUGGGCAGAAGAACAUCAAAGGGAGGCAACAUGCUAGGUAUCUAUACUUCUCCUAA
rnacentral:rRNA from 1 species